CACUGCAAUGUUCUGGGAGGAGAUGACAAAUCCCUGUGAGGCGUGCGGUUGUAGAGACGCAGAGGAAAGGGUGCACAGGAGGCAUUUUAAGGUGGAGUCAGCAGGACCCAGAGGCUGAUCAAAUGAGGGAGUGAAAGGAGAACAGAAGGGUCUGGGAAGCAGAUUUGCUAAGGUUUCUCAGUGAUGCCCAUGAGGAAAGAUGGGAGAAAUAUGGAUUGGCUGCGAGAAUGGAGUAAAUAUUGUACAGCAUCUUCUCCCAGCCCUCAAGUGACUGUAGACUGCGCUGUCUGAAGCAUGUGUUUCAGAAAAGGAAGGUGACAGCCUCAUUCAGUU
rnacentral:lncRNA from 10 species